rnacentral:rRNA from 1 species
AGAGUUUGAUCAUGGCUCAGAACGAACGCUGGCGGCGCGUCUUAACAUGCAAGUCGAACGAUCUGUAGCAAUACAGGGAGUGGCGGACGGGUGAGGAACACGUAGGAAUCUACCUAGAAGAGCGGGACAACUUUGGGAAACCGGGGCUAAUACCGCAUAGUACAGAGAUGUUAAAGGGCUAGCAAUAGUCGCUUCUAGAUGAGCCUGCGGUCUAUCAGCUUGUUGGUGAGGUAAUGGCUCACCAAGGCAGCGACGGAUAGCCGGUCUGAGAGGAUGAUCGGCCACACUGGCACUGAGACACGGGCCAGACUCCUACGGGAGGCAGCAGUUAAGAAUCUUGCGCAAUGGGGGAAACCCUGACGCAGCGACGCCGCGUGAAGGAUGAAGGCUUUCGGGUUGUAAACUUCGGUAGACUGGGAAGAAGAACUACGUUCGUUGAGGGCGUAGAGUGACGGUACCAGUCUGAAGCCCCGGCUAAUUACGUG